rnacentral:rRNA from 1 species
AACGAACGCUGGCGGCAGGCCUAACACAUGCGAGUCGAACGCUCGUAGCAAUACGAGAGUGGCAGACGGGUGAGUAACACGUGGGAACCUUCCCUAUGGUUCGGAAUAGCACAGGGAAACUUGAGGUAAUACCGGAUAAGCCCUUACGGGGAAAGAUUUAUCGCCAUUGGAUGGGCCCGCGUCGGAUUAGCUAGUUGGUGAGGUAACGGCUCACCAAGGCGACGAUCCGUAGCUGGUCUGAGAGGAUGAUCAGCCACACUGGGACUGAGACACGGCCCAGACUCCUACGGGAGGCAGCAGUGGGGAAUAUUGGACAAUGGGCGCAAGCCUGAUCCAGCCAUGCCGCGUGAGUGACGAAGGCCUUAGGGUUGUAAAGCUCUUUUGGCGGGGAAGAUAAUGACGGUACCCGCAGAAUAAGCUCCGGCUAACUUCGUGCCAGCAGCCGCCGUAAUAC